rfam:Gossypium raimondii Chr09_contig_1562, whole genome shotgun sequence.
CACAUCAGCGCGCUUUGCCGACGUGGACACAAAUCGCUAUUACGUGGACGCAAUUUGUUGCCACGUCAGCAAAGCGCGUUGAUGUGG